rnacentral:lncRNA from 1 species
AGUUCCCGCAGCGGCUGUAAUAUUGAGCACGAAAUUGUAAAACGACCCGUUCGAGCGUAUGGCCUAAUGUAGCGCAAAGCCUCCCAGCCGUUUCGCUGACGGUUGCUGGCUGGAUGUUGCUGAUUAGGUACUGGAAGGCAGGGCCCUCACCUGCAGGCACUGCAAUGUAUCCGUGAUCAUCCGAUGUUUUUGAAAAGGUAGGCAGGCUGGCCCGGUGAUGCCGUGUUGACACGUGCGCGAGAUUCCGCAAGUGUCAGUGGGGUUUGAGGCGAAAAGGCAUUUCCCUUAUCAAGUAUAUACCACGCCAACCUUGUUCUUUGCCUAAGCAGUUUUCAAGAUAGUUUGUCGGUUACGCCAAACGGAUCUGGAUGAAGCGUUCUUCCAAAGACAACUUCACCCUUCCCAAGGCGUCCUGAAAACAUUGUGCACAUUUUCGGGAACAGGGGGAAAAUUAAAAGCCAGAGCCUUGAAUUCAAUCCAUCCGUUCUGUUGUAGGGAACGAGCAGCGCGAGCAGUGAGCUCCUCGCGUCCCUAGCGUAUCACCUGCCCUAAAGGAUUGCAAAUGCAUAACUGCAAAAGCGUUUGUAAGCAAGUACCUGUGGUAUUUUCAUUGCAUUCCCAGGCCAAGUCUCUCGGUCGGUCCAUUGAUUUCAUAUCGUUCAUACUCCUAAUCAUUGUUGGCAUGGCGUCA